AUUGAACGCUGGCGGCAUGCCUAACACAUGCAAGUCGAACGGGGGUAGCGAUACCCUAGUGGCGGACGGGUGAGGAAUGCGUAGGAAUCGGCCCACGAGUGGGGGACAACCUGGGGAAACUCAGGCUAAUACCGCAUGAGCUCGGGAGAGGAAAGCGGGGGAUCUUCGGACCUCGCGCUGGUGGACGAGCCUACGUCCGAUUAGCUGGUUGGUGAGGUAAAGGCUCACCAAGGCGACGAUCGGUAGCGGGUCUGAGAGGACGACCCGCCACACUGGGACUGAGACACGGCCCAGACUCCUACGGGAGGCAGCAGUGGGGAACAUUGGACAAUGGGCGCAAGCCUGAUCCAGCAAUGCCGCGUGGGUGAAGACGGCCUGCGGGUUGUAAAGCCCUUUAGGCGGGGAGGAACGACCGGACGCUAACAUCGUCUGGAAGAGACGUUACCCGCAGAAUAAGCACCGGCUAACUCCGUGCCAGCAGCCGCGGUAAU
rnacentral:rRNA from 1 species